GGGUUGUGAGGUUAAGCGACUAAGCGUACACGGUGGAUGCCCUGGCAGUCAGAGGCGAUGAAGGACGUGCUAAUCUGCGAUAAGCGCCGGUAAGGUGAUAUGAACCGUUAUAACCGGCGAUUUCCGAAUGGGGAAACCCAGUGUGACUCGUCACACUAUCAUUAACUGAAUCCAUAGGUUAAUGAGGCGAACCGGGGGAACUGAAACAUCUAAGUACCCCGAGGAAAAGAAAUCAACCGAGAUUCCCCCAGUAGCGGCGAGCGAACGGGGAGGAGCCCAGAGCCUGAAUCAGCAUGUGUGUUAGUGGAAGCGUCUGGAAAGGCGCGCGAUACAGGGUGACAGCCCCGUACACAAAAGCGCAUGUGCUGUGAGCUCGAUGAGUAGGGCGGGACACGUGGUAUCCUGUCUGAAUAUGGGGGGACCAUCCUCCAAGGCUAAAUACUCCUGACUGACCGAUAGUGAACCAGUACCGUGAGGGAAAGGCGAAAAGAACCCCGGCGAGGGGAGUGAAAAAGAACCUGAAACCGUGUACGUACAAGCAGUGGGAGCCCCACCACUAAGCCAGUGGUGAACUCCACAUACGCAUCCUUUGCUGAGGAUACGGUUAACGGAGCGAAAGCGACGUUCAACCGCAAAAGAAGCAGAGGGGGCUUAGUGGUGGGGUGACUGCGUACCUUUUGUAUAAUGGGUCAGCGACUUAUAUUCUGUAGCAAGGUUAACCGAAUAGGGGAGCCGGAGGGAAACCGAGUCUUAAUUGGGCGUUAAGUUGCAGGGUAUAGACCCGAAACCCGGUGAUCUAGCCAUGGGCAGGUUGAAGGUUGGGUAACACUAACUGGAGGACCGAACCGACUAAUGUUGAAAAAUUAGCGGAUGACCUGUGGCUGGGGGUGAAAGGCCAAUCAAACCGGGAGAUAGCUGGUUCUCCCCGAAAGCUAUUUAGGUAGCGCCUCGUGAAUUCAUCUCCGGGGGUAGAGCACUGUUUCGGCUAGGGGGCCAUCCCGGCUUACCAACCCGAUGCAAACUGCGAAUACCGGAGAAUGUUAUCACGGGAGACACACGGCGGGUGCUAACGUCCGUCGUGAAGAGGGAAACAACCCAGACCGCCAGCUAAGGUCCCAAAGUCAUGGUUAAGUGGGAAACGAUGUGGGAAGGCCCAGACAGCCAGGAUGUUGGCUUAGAAGCAGCCAUCAUUUAAAGAAAGCGUAAUAGCUCACUGGUCGAGUCGGCCUGCGCGGAAGAUGUAACGGGGCUAAACCAUGCACCGAAGCUGCGGCAGCGACGCUGAUGCGUUGUUGGGUAGGGGAGCGUUCUGUAAGCCUGCGAAGGUGGCCUGUGAGGGUUGCUGGAGGUAUCAGAAGUGCGAAUGCUGACAUAAGUAACGAUAAAGCGGGUGAAAAGCCCGCUCGCCGGAAGACCAAGGGUUCCUGUCCAACGUUAAUCGGGGCAGGGUGAGUCGACCCCUAAGGCGAGGCCGAAAGGCGUAGUCGAUGGGAAACGGGUUAAUAUUCCCGUACUUGGUAUUACUGCGAAGGGGGGACGGAGAAGGCUAUGUUGGCCGGGCGACGGUUGUCCCGGUUUAAGCGUGUAGGUGUGUGUUCCAGGUAAAUCCGGUUCACUUUAACACUGAGGCGUGAUGACGAGGCACUACGGUGCUGAAGCAACAAAUGCCCUGCUUCCAGGAAAAGCCUCUAAGCAUCAGGUAACAUCAAAUCGUACCCCAAACCGACACAGGUGGUCAGGUAGAGAAUACCAAGGCGCUUGAGAGAACUCGGGUGAAGGAACUAGGCAAAAUGGUGCCGUAACUUCGGGAGAAGGCACGCUGACACGUAGGUGAAGUGAUUUACUCAUGGAGCUGAAGUCAGUCGAAGAUACCAGCUGGCUGCAACUGUUUAUUAAAACACAGCACUGUGCAAACACGAAAGUGGACGUAUACGGUGUGACGCCUGCCCGGUGCCGGAAGGUUAAUUGAUGGGGUCAGCGCAAGCGAAGCUCCUGAUCGAAGCCCCGGUAAACGGCGGCCGUAACUAUAACGGUCCUAAGGUAGCGAAAUUCCUUGUCGGGUAAGUUCCGACCUGCACGAAUGGCGUAAUGAUGGCCAGGCUGUCUCCACCCGAGACUCAGUGAAAUUGAACUCGCUGUGAAGAUGCAGUGUACCCGCGGCAAGACGGAAAGACCCCGUGAACCUUUACUAUAGCUUGACACUGAACAUUGAGCCUUGAUGUGUAGGAUAGGUGGGAGGCUUUGAAGUGUGGACGCCAGUCUGCAUGGAGCCGACCUUGAAAUACCACCCUUUAAUGUUUGAUGUUCUAACGUGGACCCGUUACCCGGGUUGCGGACAGUGUCUGGUGGGUAGUUUGACUGGGGCGGUCUCCUCCUAAAGAGUAACGGAGGAGCACGAAGGUUGGCUAAUCCUGGUCGGACAUCAGGAGGUUAGUGCAAUGGCAUAAGCCAGCUUGACUGCGAGCGUGACGGCGCGAGCAGGUGCGAAAGCAGGUCAUAGUGAUCCGGUGGUUCUGAAUGGAAGGGCCAUCGCUCAACGGAUAAAAGGUACUCCGGGGAUAACAGGCUGAUACCGCCCAAGAGUUCAUAUCGACGGCGGUGUUUGGCACCUCGAUGUCGGCUCAUCACAUCCUGGGGCUGAAGUAGGUCCCAAGGGUAUGGCUGUUCGCCAUUUAAAGUGGUACGCGAGCUGGGUUUAGAACGUCGUGAGACAGUUCGGUCCCUAUCUGCCGUGGGCGCUGGAGAACUGAGGGGGGCUGCUCCUAGUACGAGAGGACCGGAGUGGACGCAUCACUGGUGUUCGGGUUGUCAUGCCAAUGGCACUGCCCGGUAGCUAAAUGCGGAAGAGAUAAGUGCUGAAAGCAUCUAAGCACGAAACUUGCCCCGAGAUGAGUUCUCCCUGAGACUUAAAGUCUCCUGAAGGAACGUUGAAGACGACGACGUUGAUAGGCCGGGUGUGUAAGCGCAGCGAUGCGUUGAGCUAACCGGUACUAAUGAACCGUGAGGCUUAACCUUACAACGCCGAAG
rnacentral:rRNA from 1 species